GCCUCCUGCCAUAGUUUUUCAAUGCCGGGCAAGAUGGCGGCCACACAGACGAGGUGUUAUUGCCAGUGGUCAUAAAGGGGGCAUUUUUAUUCAACAAUUCGGAACUGAGUCAGACGUCACUGUAUGCUAAUUCCCCGCCGCGACGCCUAUUUUGGGGGCUCAUUUUUGCCGUUGUUUUUUUUUUUCCUUUGAAAAACAUUUUGAUCCACCGCAACAUGUUCACGUUGUAGCUCGCGGAGAGCAAGUCUACCAGCUAGUCUCGCUCGCUAGCCGCAACCCCAAGCCGCCGUCAAGUGGAGAAUGGGCGAAAAGCUGGAGCUGAGGCUCAAAUCGCCGGUUGGAGCAGAAGCCGCUGGCUACCCGUGGCCCUUACCGGUUUACGAUAAACACCACGAUGCUGCCCACGAAAUCAUCGAGACCAUUCGGUGGGUGUGCGAGGAGAUUCCAGACCUCAAGCUGGCAAUGGAGAACUAUGUGCUCAUCGACUACGACACCAAGAGUUAUGAGAGUAUGCAGAGACUGUGCGACAAAUACAACAGGGCCAUUGACAGCAUUCACCAGCUGUGGAAAGGGACGACUCAGCCCAUGAAGUUGAACAAGCGCCCGUCCAACGGGCUGCUGCGACACAUCCUCCAACAGGUGUACAACCACUCUGUGACCGACCCGGAGAAGCUGAACAACUACGAGCCCUUCUCGCCCGAGGUUUACGGCGAGACUUCCUUCGACCUGGUGGCGCAGAUCAUCGACGAAAUGGAAAUGAUGGAAGACGACACCUUCGUAGACCUCGGCAGCGGUGUGGGGCAGGUGGUGCUGCAGGUUGCGGCAGCGACCAACUGUAAACACUACUAUGGCGUUGAGAAAGCAGACAUUCCAGCAACCUAUGCAGAGAGCAUGGACAAAGAGUUUAAAAAGUGGAUGAAAUGGUAUGGCAAGAAACACGGGGAGUACACUCUGGAGAGAGGAGAUUUUCUGUCUGAAGAAUGGAAAGAAAGGAUCGCCACCACAAGUAUUAUUUUUGUGAAUAAUUUUGCCUUUGGUCCAGAGGUAGAUCACCAGCUGAAGGAACGUUUUGCGAACAUGAAGGAAGGUGGAAAGAUUGUAUCUUCCAAACCAUUUGCACCUUUGAACUUUCGAAUUAACAGCCGAAACUUGAGUGAUAUAGGCACAAUAAUGCGUGUGGUAGAGCUCUCACCACUGAGGGGUUCCGUGUCCUGGACUGGAAAGCCAGUCUCCUACUAUCUGCACACCAUAGACCGCACCAUACUUGAAAACUACUUUGCUAGUCUCAUCAAUCCUAAACUCAGGGAAGAGCAAGAGGCAGCUCGACGACGUCAGCAGAAAGAUAUUAAGGACAGCAAAAGCAAUAGCACCACACCCACCAAAACCAAGGAGCAAAACAAGUACCUGUAUUCGGUACUCCAGCAGGACUCCUGUGGGGAGGAGGAGCAGCGCCUCCCAUUGGUGUCUGUGGUCAAGCCCGCCGCCAAGCCCCGCCAAACAAAACUCUUGGCCAAGGGUCGCAAGCUGAACAACAAGAAGAGGGGUCGACCCAAGAAGGCGGCGCCGGCUAUCGACAAGAAGAAGAACCAGAGCGCGUUGGAUUUGCUGCAUGCCAAGACCCUUUCUGCAGCGCCCCCUCAGGAUGCAUACCUGCAACCGCGGAGUCCCUUUUACCAACUACCUCCUAAGGUCCAGCACUACCCAGCCAAUCAACUGCUGCUGAGCCCAACCCCUCCCGGUCUGCAACAACUGCUAGACAACAUCAAAGUUCAAUACCUCCAGUUUAUGGCCUACAUGAAGACUCCUCAGUACCAAUCCAAUCUGCAGCAGCUUUUAGAGCAGGAGAAGCAAAAACACAGGGAUUUGUCCAUGCAGGCAGAGCAGCUCCAUUCCAUCUGUCAGUCUCAUAAGGACAAGAUCAAAGGUCUCUUUCAGACCAAACUGGAUGAGCUGGGAGUGAAAGCUCUCACUGUGGAGGACCUGCUGCAGGCCCAGAAGGAGAUAUCGUCCCACAACCAUCAGUUGAAAGAGCAGACCAAACAGCUUGAGAGAGACAUGGCUUUACUUCGAGAUCACAGCGUGCUGCUGCUAAAGUCUCGAUGUGAGGAGCUGAAGUUGGAUUGGGGCUCUUUGUGUCUGGAGAGUCUGCUGAAAGAGAAGCUGGCCCUGCGGAGACAAAUCUCUGAGAAGCAGAGACACUGCUUAGAGCUGCAGAUUAGCAUUGUGGAGCUGGAAAAAAGUCAGAGGCAACAGGAGCUGCUUCAACUCAAAUCAUACAGCCCUCACGAGGGCUCCCCUUUCCGCAAGAACCCGGAAUCCCGUUCGUCCGCCGACGUGGACGCCCCCAAGUUCGGCCUGCCCUCAGUCCCAACUCUCAACGGCAUAAGCCCAGACCGCUCUAUCAACGGUACCGGCUCGCCCUCUUUGGAGCGCGGGAACACCAAGACGGAGGUUCUUUCACGCUAUCUGCCAAUCUCUCCCGACCACGAAGCUGCUGCAGCCAUGCCCGAGGCUCGACAGAGGCAGCACGUCUCCCACGCUCUUCCCGACUACACGCGCUUCUCCCCCGCUAAAAUUGCCUUGCGCAGGCACCUCAACCAGGAACCCACAACCGCGGGCCACUUGAGAGGCCCCGGGCCUCCCACACACAGAGGGGAAAUGGGCGGCGUUAACUCUCCUCUCGGAGCCAAGCAGGGCAGCCCAUCUCCUCAUGCGUUGGAUGCUCAGAAUACACCGAAAAGCACUGAGAGGGGUGGAAAGGAGAAGAGUCCAUCUGUUCAGGCAGACAACAGUAUCACAAGCCUUCCAAUAAGUAUUCCGCUGAGCACUGUUCACCCAAGCAAACUUCCAGUCAGCAUUCCACUCGCCAGUGUGGUGCUACCCAGUCGGGCUGAGAGACUGAGAAGUACUCCUAGUCCUGUCUCUCAGGCCUGUCAAACCAAUGGAUAUUCAUCUAGCUCAGGGCUCAUGAAUGGAGGUCCCCACUCAGAGGAACAAAAUGGUGCUUCUUCAUCGCCUCCACACGCAAACACACCCUUGGCGGGACCCAUGAGCAGAGGAGGUCCAAUCCAGAGCCCCCCACUCAGCACCGGAGGGGUUCUUCAUUAUGCAGACGGACCCCCAAGGAUUCUUUCCGAAGAUGGCCAGGAACGCCAACAGACCGAGUCCGACACUGAGCCCCAGGACAAUGAACUGCGGAGGAGAAUUUUUUUCUCCUCCUCUUCCUCCUCCUCGUCUUCGUCAUCGGGCAGUGGCGGAUUGCGCCUCCACCACCACACCGGCAGCUCGACCAAGCAGGGAUACCACAGUAACCACGGAAACCACAACCACCAGUCGCCCGGCACGCAGCGCGCGCACACGCCCCCCACGCACGGCCUCGCUCCUCAAGAAGGACGCAAACGGGGGCGGCGGAAGCGCGUCUCUACAGGGACUAUCGCAACCGGCGGCUCACCAAAGAGGAGGACCUUUCCCGGCGUCAGUGCGAACAACCACUCCUCCGGGUCCCCGCUCAACAUCAAUUCCAUGGUGAACAACAUUAACCAGCCCCUGGAAAUCGCCGCCAUCUCUUCACCGGAGCAAUCAAGCCGCAGCCCCGGUGCAUCAACCCUGGACCAGCCUCCUGUUCUGAAGAGGGAGCGCCCCCUGGAGGUCAACGGCACCGGUCGUUACUCCUCCGCGCCCAGCACUGAUGACGAGGACUCGGGAUACCCGGCUGAAAGCACCAGUUUACGGAUUGAAAGGAAAAUUGCUACGAUAUCCUUGGAGAGCAGAGACGGACCCGGUAGACUCGGUGAAAGUGAAAGAGGCAGGAAGUCAGGCUGCAGCAGCGGUCACAGCACAGGCAGCGAGGCCUCCUCCUCCUCUUCCUCAUCCUUGUCCUCUACAAGCAAAUGGAAGUCAACCUUUUCACCCAUUUCUGACCCCAAGCAACCCAACUCUGACCUCAGACAAGGGGGCUCUCCGUUUGGUAUGGGAGCGUCAAACUCGGACGCCGAUUACAAACAACACCAUCAACAGCCCAGGAAGGGAAACGAUGGCGAGCUAUCCAGCUACACGAAUCCCAACCCUUUCCUGAGCCAAGAGGCUGCCAACCGAAGCACUGGUAGCGGAGGAGGUCAGGCUGGCAGCGGUUCUGACCCCCGCCAGAUUGUACAGAAGCAGAAGGCCCCUCGGGAUUGGGAGCUAAAGACAAGUAGCGGCCAUUCCAGUCAGAACAUCUUCAUAGCCGCUGCCGCCGCCAGUAGCGGCGCAGGCAUUCUGAGCGGCAAAGUCGGUGGAAGCCCUGUCACUGUUUCGACAGGAUCCUCAGUGGGUCAGUACCUGGGCUCUCAGUUCCCACUUGGAGGGACCUCGGUCUUACAGUCGUUGUUCGGGGCCCAGACAGGAAGCUCCGGCGCCAGCGCCAACACACGACUGGUCAAUGGACACUCUGGCCUGGGCAGCUUCUCUAGCGCCGGGCUUGCAGGUGGAGCAGCAGGAGGUUCCUUUCACCACGCGGUUCCCUCAGUGUCCUCCCAUCAGUUUGGGGUGUCGCUGCCCACCUCCGGAGGCCUCGGCUCUCUGCUCAGUCUCUCCUCCCCCCAAACCGCUUCCGCGCCCUCGCCUCUCCCUCCCACCCCGUCGCAGGUCCAGCAUAGUCGCACCCAGUCGGUGCUGCACAGCCCCUCCGCCCCCACGCACUCUCUGCCCCCUCCGCCGCCCCUGCACAGCGCCCCCUCCUCCUCCUCCACGUCGGCGCCCACGCCCGCCAACACCCCCCCGCCGCCCCACGCGUCCCGUCUCCCGCACGCCUCGCUUCAUCACCCGAGGGUCCACACCCUCACUGUCUCCUCUUCCUCCUGUGUCGUUCUCUCCGCCCCCCCUUCUUCCUCUUUGUCGUCCUCCACGUCUCGUCCAUACGCAGUGCACUACUCGCCCCGCUUGCCGCCGCCGCCUCCCGCCAGCAGCUCAGGUGGUGGCGGGAGCAUGCGGAGGACUCAGGGCACACAUGGCACCUUCACCACCACCACCCCGCUCCCUGGCUCCCGACCGAGAUAGGUUUUGGGGUUGAGGGGCUGGGGGAGGUUGUGUUGCGGGCAGAUAGAGAGAGAGAGCGGGACUUAUAGGGAGUUCAUUGUUCUAAAUGAACAAGGUAAUUGCUGAAAACUACCUCAUCGUUUAAAAAAAAAAAAAAAACAACAAAACUAUGCAAAUAUCCAGGUGUGGACCCAAGGCACUCUGCUCCUCGCUCACUGGUGCUUUAAUAAGUCGAGACUACCGGAUCGCCUCCAAGACUGGCUUCUGUAUAGGGACACACACAGGCACACACACAUGUACAAACACAAACGCUGCAGCAAUCAUGAGCAGAAUUCAAAGGAACCGGUCUUGUUUCGAUCUCAAAUCUUUUUUAGAAAGCAGAAAGAAAUGAAUUAAUGCAACAAGCACACGAUUUCCUCUUUUGGAGGAGCCACUUCCUGUUUGACCUGUUCAUUGGUAUCUGCUCAGAUGUCACAAGCGUGUCUUUUUGUUUUAGUUUUUUUGUUUUUUUCUGACGUCUGAACUAUGUAACAAGAUGAGGAAAGUCAUGUUUUGAUGACGUUCACACUGGAUAACAACAUACAGUUGCAUUUGUAGCAUUAUGGUUUGUAUCAUUAGGAUCCAUCCAUCCUUUCAUUCAAAAGUUAACGGUGAAAAAGCGCUUGAAUGGAACUAAUCCGGCUGCUUUCAGUUCACCGAGCUCAGAUUUUCUAACUGGAUCAAAGCAAUUCCGUUUUUCUUUUUCUCCUCAGUAACAUCAGACUUUUGAUAUACAUAAUCAGUAGAGGUUCCGGACUUGUCGGCGGACAUAAAAAAAAAAAAAAAGCAUUGACUCCAAAAUCUGUUCAUUUCUGCCUAGCAACAGUCAAGGCGUGAACACAAAUCAAUAUUCUGCUACGAAAUGGUGCUCUGUGUUCGUUCUCUCUGGCACUGCUGUCGAGUUAAGUGAAGCUAAAUCCAGGUAGAUAAUAUCAAUAAUAAUAAUGACAGGAAGAGAAAAAAAACAGAAGCGCUGCAUGUUUUUCUGUAUUUAUUAUUAUUAUUAUUAUUAUUAUUCAUGUUUUUCCAAGUGUGGCACUACUUUGAGACCUUCUCAAAGCAGGAAUUUUUUUUUUUUAACCUUCUUAAGCUGAAAUUUGUAUAUUUAUUUGAGCUGCUGGGUGCCGCGGAUGGACACCGAGGUUUUACGACAGGAAAAUGCGCUAAACACACACACACACACACACACACACAUCCUCACACACUGGGAAAAUCUUUUUACCAUUUGCCACAACAAACUACUGGACUACUUCACACUUUUUUUUUUUUUUUGUGUGUUGUCGUUUUUUAUGUUUGUACUGUGAAUAUGAUUAAUUCUCUUGACUGUACAGUUGUUAGACUUAUAUAUUUAUGUCCCCCUAUUUCCCUUUUUUUUUUCUUUAAAAAAAAAACAAAAAUCCUGAAAUAUGUUGUACAAUGCAAUAUAGUAUGUGAGUCGCUGUCAGAAAACAAUGGUGCUAAAUUUGGACCGUGCCUGAUUUUAUUUAUUCUUCCAGUGGAAAAAUAUCCCAAAAAAAAAAUCAAAGGCGACACAUUGUGCUAUACACAGGGAUUUCUUUUUUAUUUUAUUUUUUAUUUUUUGUAAACUCCCCCUUUUUGGCCUUUAAAUUUCUUCUAUUUAAUAUUGUAUUGGGGUGUCCAACACUUUUGGAUAAACAUUCAGUGGACAAAAAAAAAAAAAAAAACACCACUGUUUU